UAGCUCAGUUGGUAAAGAAUCUGCCUGCAAUGUAGGAGACCUGGGUUCGAUUCCCAG
rnacentral:tRNA from 1 species